rnacentral:rRNA from 1 species
GACGAACGCUGGCGGCGUGCUUAACACAUGCAAGUCGAACGGAAAGGCCCUGCUUUUGUGGGGUGCUCGAGUGGCGAACGGGUGAGUAACACGUGAGUAACCUGCCCUUGACUUUGGGAUAACUUCAGGAAACUGGGGCUAAUACCGGAUAGGAGCUCCUGCUGCAUGGUGGGGGUUGGAAAGUUUCGGCGGUUGGGGAUGGACUCGCGGCUUAUCAGCUUGUUGGUGGGGUAGUGGCUUACCAAGGCUUUGACGGGUAGCCGGCCUGAGAGGGUGACCGGCCACAUUGGGACUGAGAUACGGCCCAGACUCCUACGGGAGGCAGCAGUGGGGAAUAUUGCACAAUGGGCGGAAGCCUGAUGCAGCAACGCCGCGUGCGGGAUGACGGCCUUCGGGUUGUACACCGCUUUCGCCUGUGACGAAGCGUGAGUGACGGUAAUGGGUAAAGAAGCACCGGCUAACUACGUG